rnacentral:sRNA from 1 species
UAAACAAUAAUGGCGCAGUAUCCUAGUCAGUGCCACCGGCUCCCAGGAAGGGCCUAAAAAUCCUUUAAAGGGCAUAACUGUGAAACCUAUGGUGCUUGCUUCUUACGCCCAGUUUGGGGUGAGUGCUGGAGGAAGGCGUAACAUUACGCCUGCGGCGGAAGGGCGGUCUUCAAUGGCAUGAAGAUCCCGACCCUGCCGCUGUGGAGACCCGCUGUUGUGCAGACGCGUACUCCCCAGUGGUCGAAGCGACGUCUGUACGAGGUGGGAUGUAAACCUGCAAUGCGGUGCAAGGGCUUGCCCGAGUGCUGUGUGCAGAGUAGCCUGCCUUGCGUGAGCAGAUCGGGACUGCGGUCAGGCAUGCAGACCCCUGGCCAGGGGCGAGGCAUGAUAUUGCCGCACGAAAGCCUGCUUGCAAAAGAGGAUAAGAGUCGGAGGGCGCUGUGGUGGAAAUCACCUAGGCUGUCUUUCAUAGAGCAGAUAAGGGAUUGCAGUACGGACUCAGUGGCAAUCGGGUCGCUUUCUUGGCAACGGAAAGACGGCGGCUUUCAUGGGAAACCACUCCACCGGCGACGGGGAGCAGCCUCCGGGGAAAUCCUACCCGACCUAAGCCGUAAGCUUAAUCUUAUCUGCUGCCAUUAUUUUUGA